rnacentral:rRNA from 1 species
GAUUAUGGCUCAGGAUGAACGCUGGCGGCGUGCCUAACACAUGCAAGUCGAGCGAUCUCUCGGAGAAGAGCGGCGGACGGGUGAGUAACGCGUGGGUAACCUGCCCUAUACACACGGAUAACGUACCGAAAGGUACGCUAAUACGAGAUAAUAUGCUUUAGUCGCAUGGCUGAAGUAUCAAAGCUCCGGCGGUAUAGGAUGGACCCGCGUCUGAUUAGCUAGUUGGUAAGGUAAUGGCUUACCAAGGCGACGAUCAGUAGCCGACCUGAGAGGGUGAUCGGCCACAUUGGAACUGAGACACGGUCCAAACUCCUACGGGAGGCAGCAGGUGGGAAUAUUGCACAAUGGGCGAAAGCCUGAUGCAGCAACGCCGCGUGAGCGAUGAAGGCCUUCGGGUCGUAAAGCUCUGUCCUCAAGGAAGAUAAUGACGGUACUUGAGGAGGAAGCCCCGGCUAACUACGUGCCAGCCGCCGC